CGGUGGAGCAUGUUGGUUUAAUUCGAAGCAACGCGAAGAACCUUACCAGGUCUUGACAUCCGAUGCUUAUUUCUAGAGAUAGAAAGUUACUUCGGUACAUCGGUGACAGGUGGUGCAUGGUUGUCGUCAGCUCGUGUCGUGAGAUGUUGGGUUAAGUCCCGCAACGAGCGCAACCCCUAUUGUUAGUUGCCAUCAUUCAGUUGGGCACUCUAGCGAGACUGCCGGUAAUAAACCGGAGGAAGGUGGGAUGACGUCAAAUCAUCAUGCCCCUUAUGACCUGGGCUACACACGUGCUACAAUGGUUGGUACAACGAGUUGCGAGUCGGUGACGGCGAGCUAAUCUCUUAAAGCCAAUCUCAGUUCGGAUUGUAGGCUGCAACUCGCCUACAUGAAGUCGGAAUCGCUAGUAAUCGCGGAUCAGCACGCCGCGGUGAAUACGUUCCCGGGCCUU
rnacentral:rRNA from 1 species